AUUGAACGCUGGCGGAAUGCUUUACACAUGCAAGCCGAACGGUAGAGGGGGCAACCCCUCGAGAGUGGCGAACGGGUGAGUAAUAUAUCGGAACGUGCCCAGUCGUGGGGGAUAACGUAGCGAAAGUUACGCUAAUACCGCAUACGAUCUAAGGAUGAAAGCGGGGGAUCGCAAGACCUCGCGCGAUUGGAGCGGCCGAUAUCAGAUCAGGUAGUUGGUGGGGUAAAGGCUCACCAAGCCAACGAUCUGUAGCUGGUCUGAGAGGACGACCAGCCACACUGGAACUGAGACACGGUCCAGACUCCUACGGGAGGCAGCAGUGGGGAAUUUUGGACAAUGGACGCAAGUCUGAUCCAGCCAUUCCGCGUGCAGGAUGAAGGCCCUCGGGUUGUAAACUGCUUUUGUACGGAACGAAAAGGUCUCUCUUAAUACGGGGGACUCAUGACGGUACCGUAAGAAUAAGCACCGGCUAACUACGUGCCAGCCGCCGCCGUAA
rnacentral:rRNA from 1 species